rnacentral:lncRNA from 1 species
UGGAUAGAAAUAUGAAGAUGGCUUGACCUUGCAGGGUUACUGCCAUCUGGAGAAGAUAUCUGCUAAUAUGUUACGGAGUUUUUUCCAUUGUUGCUGCUUCUGUGAAGAACUCAGAAAGGUUCUGAUAAGCCAAGAGAAAAGACAAAAGUAAUGCUUUUCUCAGCGAGAUCUAAGAAUGUUUAGUAGAUUGACAGAGAUCAUUAACACUUUAAAUGUAGUUUUACUUCCAUUUUCAGUCAGGUGAAGUGAAAGUAAAAGUUUAUACUGGAUA